rnacentral:lncRNA from 1 species
GCACUAGAUGAAUUAUUUUCAAACUGGAUUUCAUCAAGCUUCUGCCUGAUAUCGGUUGUCUCUUCCUUUAAUCGCGCAUUUUCCUCCACUGCUCGUUCGUGGCUCUCUACCAAGUGGUUCAACUGCUCCAUGAGACUCUGAUUAUCGGUUCUAAGAUGAUCCAGUUGCGAGAAAAGCUCAUCGAGUUGCUUUUGUUUCCUUAUUCUUGAUCUUCUAGCAGACUCUCUAUUUGAUAUCAUUCUUCUGCGUUUCCGCUCACUAAUUAUGUUGGUUUGUUGCUCACUGGCUUCAUCAGAAGUUGAGUUGUUGCUUAGAAGUGAAGGGUGUGAAUUGAAGUAGUGAUCAGGGAUGUUGGUUAAGAAAUUGGUUAGAGAUAUGGGAGCUUGGAUGUUGAAGUUGGUGAUGAUCGGGGUCGAGUUCGAUUCAGGAGCCAAGAUUUGAGUGGAAAAGAGUUCAAAGAGGGUGAUCGAAAUUUGUAAGUGGUUAAGGUUUGUUGGUAAGAGAAAAAAGAGUAAGUUUUAUAGGGGUUUGCAUAAGUGAAGGGUUAAAUAAGUAAUCUAUGCCAUGUGUCAUCAAUAUUUUAAUUUUUAGUUAUAUACUUUUGCACGGUUCGAAUAU